rnacentral:misc_RNA from 1 species
GGAGGCAAUUUCAAAAUUUCCACUCUCGGUUGUAAGCAAGAAUAAAAUCGAAUGAAUUUACAUGAUUUUAGAAAACAUUACAAAAAUAUGAUUGAUGUUGACGAUGAAGAUAGCGGAAGGAGUGAUUCCGACGAACGGUUCGAUGAUGCAACGGAAAUGCCAGGUGAAGGAUGUAACGAAAGUUUUAAAGAUCUACUUACUGAAUGUCAAUCAGUAACUGAUAUAAAUAUGAGAUACGCUGGAGAUAGUAACAUUGAAAAUGAAAUAGAAAAAAAUAAUAACAAAGAAGAUGAAGCGGGUGAUAAAGAAAUUAAUGAAAAUAGUAAAGUUGAAUUAAGUAUUGAUGAAUUGAACGAACAAAGAAAUAUUCGAUGUGAAUUAUGUAAAUAUUUUUAUGUUAUUGGGAAUGAAACUCAUAUUGUACACGCUCAUGAACCAUGGCCUAAAGAUGUAAAACUUUUCCAACCCUAUGAAGUAGAACAAAUUCUUCUUCCCGACAAUGCAAAUUGUUUAGCUGUUCAAGCAUACCUAAAAAUGUGUCACUUAGAUUUUCAAAUUGAAUCAAGAGCGAAUGCAGAGUUUAUGUCACCCACUGGAAAAGUUCCAUUCAUUAAAUGUGGCGCCUUUGUUGUUGCUGAAUUAGAAGGAAUUGUCUCAUUUGUUGCACAAAAAGGAAUCACUCUUACUGAGCACUUAGAACCUGACCAAAAGGCUGAUAUGAGAGCAUAUAUUGCUUUGAUUAAUAAUGUGCUUGGAAAUGCUGAAAAUUAUGUCUGUUGGUGUGAUAAAGAAACAUAUUCUGAAGUUACUAAGCCUCGAAAUGGUUCUGUUUAUCCUUGGCCUUUAAAUAUAUUACAAACUUGGAGUAAAAAAUCGAAACAGGUUAAACAUUUGAAAACUUUGGGUUGGUAUGAAAAGAGUUUAAAAGAGGUUUUCCAAGAAGUUGAAACUUGUUGUCAAGCUUUAACUGAUCGACUGGAGGGUAGUAUUUAUUUCUUUGGAGAUAGUCCUACAGAAUUAGACGCUUUAUUAUUUGGACAUUUAUUCACAAUUUUAACAACUCCACUGCCCAAUUCUGAUUUAGCAGCAACUGUAAGAAAAUUUCCGUCCCUUAUCAAUUUGGUCCAAAAAGUAGAAAAGGAUUACUUCAAGCGUGAUAGAGAAAGUUUGGAUCGCUGACAGUUCUUUAUCAAAAAAAUGUAGAAGUAGUCUUUAUUAAUUGUAUAUUAUUGUUUAAUAUUGCUAAAGAAUAAAAUAUAACUUUAUAACAAGUCGAAUUCGUUACUUACUAGGGAUCACCCUGUUGGACACUACAUUUAAAAUAUAUUGAAAAGUACUGAUGGGGAAAUUGAAAGAGGAAAUUGAGAGGGGUGAGUUGUUGCCAAUAUAUAUUGAAACACCUGGCAGAUAGGGAAUUGAACAAGAAGGGAGGAAAGUUGUAUGCAUUGUUCAUAGACCUUAUCAAAUACCUUCUAUUUGAUAAGGUGGAUACAGGGAAGAUGUGGGAGGAAAUGAGGAGGAGAGGUAUCACAGAACUGCAGAUUGAGAGAGUGAAGGAGGAUACAUACAGGGAGGUAGUGGCUAAGGUUAAAGUGGGGGAAGAGUUAAGCGAGGUAUUCUGGACGACGAAGGAAUUGAGACAAGGGUGCCCACACUAUUUGCGAUGUAUAUGGCGGACUUGGAAAAGAGAUUUGGGAGAGGGCAAAUAGGUGAGGUGGUGAUAGGAAGAACGAAGGUGCACGCGUUGGCGUAUGCGGAUGAUUUGGUGGUCGUGGCUAGAGAGGCGGUAGAGAUGAUGAGGUCUCUGGAGAGGUAUUUUAUGGCGCGGGGGUAACGAGGAUUGCUGAAGGAUGUACAAACGAAGGUAUUGGAGAUAGGUCGAGAGACUUGGCGAGGGAGACUCCACUUGUAGUGGGGGAGGAGGUUAAGGUGAAUGCAGUAAGGAUGGAGGCUGGGAGAAGAGCUAUGAAAUACGAGGAAAUGAUAGAAGGAAGACCGCAUUUCAGGAUCCUGGGAAGGUGCUGGAAAAAAAUUAAGGAGAGCAAGCUGAUAUAUGGGCAGACAUAUAGGGAAGGAUAUUAUAGGACUGUGGGAUAUUUUCUAACUGGGAUCAACAACAGAAGAGUGGAUAGAGGUGAAAUGUGGGGAGAACUGAGAAAUAGCGACAGGGACAUACAGCAGCAGAAAAGAAGGCCACAGAGGAACUGCCAAAGUAUCUGUUGAUGGAGGGGGAUGCUGAAGGGAUGAUAUUGGUGCUCAGAUUCCGCUGUGGCAAUGAGGAGAGUUAGAACAGGUACUGGGCGAACGAUGUGGAGAGGAUUGGGAGACGCUGGAACACAUUCUGAGAAGGUGAGCUAAGGGAGGAGGCGAUGGACAGGAAGCAGAUUUUGGGAGAGGGGAUGGGUCAAAAGAUGGAUGAGGGAGAUGAUUGGGGCGAAGAGCCAAGGGUAUGGGUCUAUACAUAUAUUGUACUGGAGAAAUAUUGUAAAUUGUAAACAAUAAAACGCUUAUUAGUA